rnacentral:rRNA from 1 species
UACAGAGGAGCCAAGCGUUGUCCGGAUUGACUGGGCGUAAAGCGCACGCAGGCGGCUGCGCGCGUGGGGUGUGAAAUCUGGCCGCUUAACGGCCAGGCGCCAUCCCAUACGGCGCGUCUGGAGUGAUGCAGAGGUCGGUGGAAUUGCCGGUGUAGUGGUGAAAUGCGUAGAGAUCGGCAGGAACACCCAGGGGGAAACCAGCCGACUGGGCAUCUACUGACGCUGAGGUGCGAGAGCGUGGGGAGCGAACCGG